rnacentral:rRNA from 1 species
GCAUCGAUGAAGAACGCAGCGAACUGCGAUAAGUAAUGUGAAUUGCAGAAUUCAGUGAAUCAUCGAGUCUUUGAACGCACAUUGCGCCCCCUGGCAUUCCGGGGGGCAUGCCUGUCCGAGCGUCAUUGAUGCCCAUCAAGCCCGGCUUGUGUGUUGGGUCGUCGUCCCUCCCGGGGGACGGGCCCGACCGGCGGCGGCGGGGAACAUGUCCGGUCCUCGAGCGUAUGGGGCUUUGUCACCCGCUCGCUUGGGGCCGGCCGGGCGCCAGCCGACGUCUCCAACCAUUUUUAUUCAGGUUGACCUCGGAUCAGGUAGGGAUACCCACAUGCACUUAAGCAUAUCAAUUAGCGGAGGA